rnacentral:ncRNA from 1 species
GCGCAGUGGGUCUGUGGUUGAAAGUCGAUGCCAGUCGCAGGCGAAGCGAUCCACGUAAGCGGGAAAUAUUUCCGUGAUCAUAGUGCGGCCUAGAUGUAAGUCCAACCGGAGCGAUCCGAGAGGGGUAGUAGUGGGGAGCGAAAUCAGCUUAUGAGCGAACCUUCCAGUUGGCGGGUGUGGGGUUAAAAACCAGGUCAGACACUGCGG